rnacentral:lncRNA from 10 species
UUGCCCUGGUGGUUCCGCCUCGUGGGUUAGAUCCCAAAUUACGCCCGCUCUCGAUCCUUAAUAAUGGGAAGGGGCUUCCACUUGUCGCCCUCCGCCUCCUGCACCUCAGUGACUUCCCUGACCAAGGAGGAAGAAUUGGCGUGCAGCCUGGGCUUCCCUCAAUGGCCACCAUUCCGCUGGCACAAUGUAGUGCCCUGCCCCGGGCCUCAGUUUCCCCAUCUGUGGAACUGAGUGUGGCCUCGACGUCAAAAAUGUGGACUCUGGUCCGGUCGCGGUGGCUCACGCCUGGAUUGUGAGAAAGCAAGUGAAAUUACUCGUGGAAGUGAAUGGACUGCUUUGAGUCUUCAAGGCGUUAAUUUUCCAAACGUUUGAAUUCUAUCCCUGGUCUGAGAGCUAGGGAUGCAGCCUAGCAAGGGAAACAGGUAACUAAUAUAGAACAGCAGUACCUGCAAAUAUCUGUCUCUGUGAGGAUAGAUCAAAUCCAGGCUUGGUCACUCACCACCCCUGUGAUCUUGGACAACCUCUUAACCUCUCUGGGCUUCAGUUUCAUCUGCUAAGUGGGAAAGCAGUGGUGUGUGGUGAUUAAAAGCUUCAGCUUUGGAGCUGGAUGGUCAACAUGGAAUCCUGGGCCUUAAACUCAGUGUCUCUGAGACAUAGGACAAAGUACAGUCAGCUGUCCAUGUUUACAGGUUCCCCAUCUACGGAUUGAAGCAACUGUGGGUGGUUAAUAUUUGUGGGGGAAAACAGUAAAAAAUAACAGUUCAACAAUAAAAAUAAUACAGAUUCCGAAAGCAAUACAGCAUAGCAAUUACUUAUAUAGCAUUUACAUUGUAUUAAGUAUUGUAAGUAAUUUAAAGAUGAUUUUCAAUAUACUGGAGGAUUUGUGUAGGUUAAAUGCAAGUAUUCUCGCAUUUUGUAAGCACCCAAUGGUUCUCCUUGCCUGCUUCCUAGACAGAACCAAUUUAUCAAGACAGGGGAAUUGCAAUAGAGAAAGUUUAAUUCACACAGAGCUGGCUGAACAGGAGACCACAGUUUUAUUAUUACUCAAAUCAGUCUCCCUGGAAAUUCAGGGUUUUCAAGGAUAAUUUGGUGGCUGGAGGUGCUGGGGAUUAGAGAGUGUUGAUAGGUUGGAUCAGAGAGGAAAGGAGUCAAAGCUGUCCUCUUGCACUGAGUCAGAUCCUGGGUUAGGACCAUAGGACCAGAUUAGCCAGAUUACAGGGCUGGGUGGCGUCAGCUGGUGCAUUAGAACACGGGUUCUGCAAAAUAUCUCAAGCACUGAUUUUAGGUUUUAGAACAGUGAUGUUACUCCCGGAAGCAAUCUGGGGAGGGUCAGAAUCUUGUAGCCUCCAGCUUGCGUGACCUCCUAAACCAUAAUUUCUAAUCUUUUAGCUAAUUUGUUAGUCUACAAAGGCAGACCCGUUCCUAGGCAAGGAGGGGAUUUGUUUUGGGAAAGGGCUAUUAUUGCCUUUGUUUCAAAGUUAAACUAUAAACUAAGUUCUUUCCAACAUUAAUUCCACCUAUGUCCAGGAAUGAUCAAGGACAGCUUGGAAGUUAGAAGCAAGAUGGAGUCAGGCCAGAUCUCUUUCACUAUCAUAAUUUUCUCAGUUAUGCUUUUUACAAAGGUGGUUUUGAUUUUACAUAAGGGACUUGAGCAUCGAGAAUUUUGGUAUCCAUGGGGACUAAGGUACCAAUCCCUCACAGAUACUAAGGGAUGACUGAGCUCAAGUUUUCAGCUUCAGUUUGCUCAUCUAUAAAGCAGGUUUAAUAAUAACACUUUGUUGAUAAUGUUAUUCUGAAGAUUAAAGGAAGAGUAAACGUAAACUACUUAGAAGAGUGUCUCUGGCACAUUGUAAGCCCUCAAUAAGUGUGAACUAACACCACUAAUAAGUUCUUUAUAAACUGCCUAAUAGGUAGUCAAAUAAGAGGGGAAAUAAAGCCCUAAGGAGUAAUAUUUGUGUUUUGUUUGCCCUACAUGGUUUUGUGAAAUUUUCUAUUCAUUAUCAAUAUUUAAAGUUGGGGUUUUCAAUCUUUGACUGGGCAUGAUGGCUCAUUCCUGUAAUUCCAACACUUUGGGAGGCCCAGCUGGGAGGAUGGCUUGAGCUCAGAAGUUUGAGAUCAGCCAUGGCCAACAUGGUGAGGCCCCCAUCUCUACAAAAAAAAUAUAUACGCGCGCGCGCACACACACACACACACACACACACACGCAAAAAUUAGCCAGGCAUGGUGGUGAACACCUGUGGUCCCAGCUACUCAAGAGGCUGAGGUGGGAGGACAGCUUGAGCCAAGGAGGAAGAGGUUGCAGUGAGCUGAGAUUGCAUCACUGCACUCCAGCCUGUGUGACAGAGCCAGACUCUGUCUCAAAAAUAAAUAAAUAAACUUGGGACAUUUCACAUAAAACCCUACUGUAGCUGACUGCUCUGGAAAAGUGGGGAAGUCUGACGACAGUGGGCCAGCCUUCCCCCAUGGCAGCACUUGUUCAGAACUUGGGAGAGACCGUCCCCUUUUGUGAAGCAUGUGCUUCCCUGGUGUGUGGAGAGAUAAAAGAAUAGAAAACGCUGGGAACACCAGCAUUUCAAGAUCAAAGCGUCAAGCCUCAGCACCCCCUGGGAGCUCGAGACAUCUAAGGAGUUGACUGAGGCCCCUCCCUGACAUACUGAAGCGGAAUCUGCAUUUUAGCAAGAUCUGCAGGUGAAUUCUGAGCGUGUGAAUGCUUGAGAAGCCCUGAUCUGUAACACAUUUAGAUUCUUUCACAUACCGCA